rnacentral:rRNA from 1 species
GUGGGGAAUAUUGGACAAUGGGCGAAAGCCUGAUCCAGCCAUGCCGCGUGUGUGAAGAAGGUCUUCGGAUUGUAAAGCACUUUAAGUUGGGAGGAAGGGCAGUAAGUUAAUACCUUGCUGUUUUGACGUUACCGACAGAAUAAGCACCGGCUAACUUCGUGCCAGCAGCCGCGGUAAUACGAAGGGUGCAAGCGUUAAUCGGAAUUACUGGGCGUAAAGCGCGCGUAGGUGGUUUUGUAAGUUGGAGGUGAAAUCCCCGGGCUCAACCUGGGAACUGCCUCCAAAACUGCAUGACUAGAGUACGGUAGAGGGUAGUGGAAUUUCCUGUGUAGCGGUGAAAUGCGUAGAUAUAGGAAGGAACACCAGUGGCGAAGGCGACUACCUGGACUGAUACUGACACUGAGGUGCGAAAGCAUGGGGAUCAAACAGGAUUAGAACCCCCUGUAGUCC